rnacentral:lncRNA from 1 species
AAAGUCGAAGAGUAAUAUGGCUCUGCAGGCGCAAUCAGCAAAAGAAAGGAAGGAAAAGGAAGCUGGAAUGGCAACAAAGGUAGAAGAGGCUACAACAUUUCUACUUGUCAAAAUCAGUAAGAAGGAAACUGGUCGAAUCAAAGAAAACCCUGGAACCAAGGCAACCAAAGAGGUGGUGCUGCAGGUAGAGGAAGAUGUGGUGGUCAAAAUCCAGACAAGAGUCACAUUCACUGUUAAAAUUGUCAGAAUCAUG